AGAGUUUGAUCCUGGCUCAGAUUGAACGCUGGCGGCAGGCCUAACACAUGCAAGUCSAGCGGAUGAAGGGAGCUUGCUCCUGGAUUCAGCGGCGGACGGGUGAGUAAUGCCUAGGAAUCUGCCUGGUAGUGGGGGACAACGUUUCGAAAGGAACGCUARUACCGCAUACGUCCUACGGGAGAAAGCAGGGGACCUUCGGGCCUUGCGCUAUCAGAUGAGCCUAGGUCGGAUUAGCUAGUUGGUGAGGUAAUGGCUCACCAAGGCGACGAUCCGUAACUGGUCUGAGAGGAUGAUCAGUCUCACUGGAACUGAGACACGGUCCAGACUCCUACGGGAGGCAGCAGUGGGGAAUAUUGGACAAUGGGCGAAAGCCUGAUCCAGCCAUGCCGCGUGUGUGAAGAAGGUCUUCGGAUUGUAAAGCACUUUAAGUUGGGAGGAAGGGUUGUAGAUUAAUACUCUGCAAUUUUGACSUUACCGACAGAAUAAGCACCGGCUAACUCUGUGCCAGCCGCCGCGGUAAUUC
rnacentral:rRNA from 1 species